UACGUAUGGGGCAAGCGUUAUCCGGAUUUAUUGGGUUUAAAGGGUGCGUAGGCGGGUUAUCAAGUCAGCGGUAAAAUCGUGGAGCUCAACUCCAUCCAGCCGUUGAAACUGAUGAUCUUGAGUGGGCGAGAAGUAUGCGGAAUGCGUGGUGUAGCGGUGAAAUGCAUAGAUAUCACGCAGAACUCCGAUUGCGAAGGCAGCUUACUAAGCCAUAACUGACACUGAAGCACGAAAGCGUGGGGAUCGAACAGG
rnacentral:rRNA from 1 species